rnacentral:rRNA from 1 species
UACGUAGGGAGCAAGCGUUGUCCGGAAUCAUUGGGCGUAAAGCGCGCGUAGGUGGUCCCGUAAGUCCGCUGUGAAAGUCAAAGGCUCAACCUUUGAAAGCCGGUGGAUACUGUGGGACUAGAGUACGGAAGAGGCGAGUGGAAUUCCUGGUGUAGCGGUGGAAUGCGCAGAUAUCGGGAGGAACACCAAUAGCGAAGGCAGCUCGCUGGGACGUUACUGACACUGAGGCGCGAAAGCGUGGGGAG